rnacentral:pre_miRNA from 1 species
UCGAGGCACGGGACUUAGCUAAUUGGCGAACAUUGGUCGGUUGUAGAUAUUGUUCACAGUGGCUAAGUUCAGUGCCUGAA